UAGGGCAUCCAUAUGGAUGAAUGGAGAUGGAUGAUAAAAAUCUCUACUCCAAUUGGUCAAAAAUCAUAACCAAUGGGCUUCAAGGAGAGUGCCUGAGGCCAUAUUAGAGAUUAGGGUUAGUUUUUUUGGGGGCAUUUGAGCUUUGGAGGCUAUGAUCAGUAAGUUUAGGUUUUUGGCUAUGAUUUUGGUGUAAAUUUUGAGUCAUUUGGAGUUUAUGUUAUAGAGAUAUGGGCGCUCAAAAUUAGGGUGUAGAUUUUUUACGUAUUCACUGUUUUGGAUAUAACGCAUGCAUACAGAAAGCAACAAAGGAUUGGCAACUGGGAUUGGAGAGAACACUUUCUCAGCUAUAUUUUAUGCAUAUUUCUUGAUAA
rnacentral:lncRNA from 1 species